GAUGAACGCUAGCGGCAGGCCUAACACAUGCAAGUCGAGGGGUAGAAGCUUUCGGGCUUUGAGACCGGCGCACGGGUGCGUAACGCGUAUGCAAUCUGCCUUGUACUGAGGGAUAGCCCAGAGAAAUUUGGAUUAACACCUCAUAGUAUUUUUGCCUGGCAUCAGGUGAUUAUUAAAGGUUACGGUACAAGAUGAGCAUGCGUCCCAUUAGCUAGUUGGUAUGGUAACGGCAUACCCAGGCUACGAUGGGUAGGGGUCCUGAGAGGGAGAUCCCCCACACUGGUACUGAGACACGGACCAGACUCCUACGGGAGGCAGCAGUGAGGAAUAUUGGUCAAUGGGCGCAAGCCUGAACCAGCCAUGCCGCGUGCAGGAUGAAGCAUCUAUGGUGUGUAAACUGCUUUUGUACGGGAAGAAACACUGCUACGUGUAGCAGCUUGACGGUACCGUAAGAAUAAGGAUCGGCUAACUCCGUGCCAGCAGCCGCAGUAAGAC
rnacentral:rRNA from 1 species